UACAGAGGGUGCAAGCGUUGUUCGGAAUUACUGGGCGUAAAGCGCGUGUAGGCUGCGACGUAAGUCAGGUGUGAAAGCCCUCAGCUUAACUGAGGAAGUGCACUUGAUACUGCGUCGCUUGAGUGUCGGAGGGGGUGGCGGAAUUCCCGGUGUAGAGGUGAAAUUCGUAGAUAUCGAGAGGAACAUCGGUGGCGAAGGCGGCCUUCUGGACAGUGACUGACGCUGAGACGCGAAAGCGUGGGGAGCAAACAGG
rnacentral:rRNA from 1 species